rnacentral:rRNA from 1 species
AGAGUUUGAUUAUGGCUCAGGAUGAACGCUGGCGGCGUGCUUAACACAUGCAAGUCGAACGAAGCACUUUAUUUGAUUUCUUCGGAAUGAAGAUUUUGUGACUGAGUGGCGGACGGGUGAGUAACGCGUGGGUAACCUGCCUCAUACAGGGGGAUAACAGUUGGAAACGACUGCUAAUACCGCAUAAGCGCACAGGGUCGCAUGACCUGGUGUGAAAAACUCCGGUGGUAUGAGAUGGACCCGCGUCUGAUUAGCCAGUUGGUGGGGUAACGGCCUACCAAAGCGACGAUCAGUAGCCGACCUGAGAGGGUGACCGGCCACAUUGGGACUGAGACACGGCCCAA